rnacentral:rRNA from 1 species
CAUGCAAGUCGAGCGGGGUGAUGUAGCUUGCUACAUUACCUAGCGGCGGACGGGUGAGUAAUGCUUAGGAAUCUGCCUAUUAGUGGGGGACAACAUUCCGAAAGGAAUGCUAAUACCGCAUACGCCCUACGGGGGAAAGCAGGGGAUCUUCGGACCUUGCGCUAAUAGAUGAGCCUAAGUCAGAUUAGCUAGUUGGUGGGGUAAAGGCCUACCAAGGCGACGAUCUGUAGCGGGUCUGAGAGGAUGAUCCGCCACACUGGGACUGAGACACGGCCCAGACUCCUACGGGAGGCAGCAGUGGGGAAUAUUGGACAAUGGGCGAAAGCCUGAUCCAGCCAUGCCGCGUGUGUGAAGAAGGCCUUUUGGUUGUAAAGCACUUUAAGCGAGGAGGAGGUUACUGAGACUAAUACUCUUGGAUAGUGGACGUUACUCGCAGAAUAAGCACCGGCUAACUCUGUGCCAGCAGCCGCGGUAAUACAGAGGGUGCGAGCGCUAAUCGGAUUUACUGGGCGUAAAGCGUGCGUAGGCGGCUUUUUAAGUCGGAUGUGAAAUCCCCGAGCUUAACUUGGGAAUUGCAUUCGAUACUGGGAAGCUAGAGUAUGGGAGAGGAUGGUAGAAUUCCAGGU